CAAAAGCACUACUAUUAAAGGUCCAAUGAUAACUGAUUACCAUUCGACCUAAGCAUUCAUAGCAGCUUUACAAAAAAAAAAAAAAAUUUUUUUUUUUUUUUUUUUUUAAACGCUGUAAAGCUCCCCUUCCCACAAGUAGGCACAGAGCGUAGAGUACCGGCUUCAAAAUAAUUUUUUUUCUUAGCUGAUUUUAACAAGUAUCUAUGUGCAAGUAUCUAUGUUCUAAGAAGAUGUCAGUCCAGAAAAUGGGGGUAUCGGUUUCCAUGUCAGCGGACAGCAAACCCACCCAAUUCAAGCGUCUAAACCCCAAUUGCUGGCCAACGCGUCGGAACCAAAGCGUUAGCGCUGGAAUUUCCGGGCGGAGGCGCAGUAUGUCGCAAUGGGUCGAUUGCUUUGGCCUGGCGGAAGUCUAUCAGGAGAGGACCGCGGCCGCGAGGACAGCGGGAAGGCGGGCAGCGUGUGAUGUCCUCGUCGCCCGAGAGCUUGAGCUGCUGGGUUUCGGGAGGCCACGCUGGCCCUGUUGGCACGACCAAGCAGGUCGGAGAGUUCAGUCGUGUUUGCACACGCGCUGGUCGAGUCCCGUUGUUGGCCAUGGAGAGGAGUAUCCCAACUAUUUGUGGACCUUUGUUUUUUCGUAG
ensembl:lincRNA